GCCGCGCCACUGUUCCAGUAAGAGCUGAGGAGAGUCCUAGAUCACCAUCCUUCCAGACCAUCUCCGAGGCAAGCUUUCCCAGAUGAAUGUGCCUGAUCCCAUCUGCCGGUGGAUCACUGACUUCCUGACGGACAGGAAGCAGCACGUGAGGCUGGGGAAGAAUGUCUUGGACUCCCGGACCAUCAGCACCAUCAGAGUGGAUUAUAACACAGAAGCAACAUUACUGAGGGGCUCGCCCAGCAGCCGCGGAGCAGAAGUCAGGGGGAGUUGCAGUGACGCGCCCGUGAGCUCCGCCGGCCCCCAGCUGUGCCUGAGUGACCGAGCCCCAGGCCGAGAGGCCGGGGGCACCCCACCUCCAAAGGGGCCCGAGCGAGCCCCAGGCCCCAGGCCCCGACAAGCGGCCGCCAAGGAGUGAGCCGGUCUCCACUAGACAUCACCUAGACCCAGAGCUGCAUGAGGCCAGCACAAACAGCGGCCUAUUCGACGAAGAUGAUGGAUCCAUGGGGUCAGGAAAGCCAGAAGCAGGGGAGCUGGAGAGGUACCUUUCAUGUCCAUUCACUGGAGGUGUGGAUCUAUUGCAUGGCUUUCCUCACAUCAAGAAGCUGUCGAUCAAAGUCAAUACAGUUCUUCAUGCAUCUGGAGCUUGUGAAGGACUUCUUAGUCAUGCAGGACUCCUAUUCACUGCUAAACAGUUAAAGCUUCACAGAAAGAACCUCGAG
ensembl:lncRNA